rnacentral:rRNA from 1 species
AUGAACGCUAGCUACAGGCUUAACACAUGCAAGUCGAGGGGCAUCAGGAAGAAAGCUUGCUUUCUUUGCUGGCGACCGGCGCACGGGUGAGUAACACGUAUCCAACCUGCCCUUUACUCGGGGAUAGCCUUUCGAAAGAAAGAUUAAUACCCGAUGGCAUAAUGAUUCCGCAUGGUUUCAUUAUUAAAGGAUUCCGGUAAAGGAUGGGGAUGCGUUCCAUUAGGUUGUUGGUGAGGUAACGGCUCACCAAGCCUUCGAUGGAUAGGGGUUCUGAGAGGAAGGUCCCCCACAUUGGAACUGAGACACGGUCCAAACUCCUACGGGAGGCAGCAGUGAGGAAUAUUGGUCAAUGGGCGCUAGCCUGAACCAGCCAAGUAGCGUGAAGGAUGAAGGCUCUAUGGGUCGUAAACUUCUUUUAUAUAAGAAUAAAGUGCAGUAUGUAUACUGUUUUGUAUGUAUUAUAUGAAUAAGGAUCGGCUAACUCCGUGCCAGCAGCCGCGGUAAUACGGAGGAUCCGAGCGUUAUCCGGAUUUAUUGGGUUUAAAGGGAGCGUAGGUGGACUGGUAAGUCAGUUGUGAAAGUUUGCGGCUCAACCGUAAAAUUGCAGUUGAUACUGUCAGUCUUGAGUACAGUAGAGGUGGGCGGAAUUCGUGGUGUAGCGGUGAAAUGCUUAGAUAUCACGAAGAACUCCGAUUGCGAAGGCAGCUCACUGGACUGCAACUGACACUGAUGCUCGAAAGUGUGGGUAUCAAACAGGAUUAGAUACCCUGGUAGUCCACACAGUAAACGAUGAAUACUCGCUGUUUGCGAUAUACAGUAAGCGGCCAAGCGAAAGCAUUAAGUAUUCCACCUGGGGAGUACGCCGGCAACGGUGAAACUCAAAGGAAUUGACGGGGGCCCGCACAAGCGGAGGAACAUGUGGUUUAAUUCGAUGAUACGCGAGGAACCUUACCCGGGCUUAAAUUGCAGUGGAAUGAUGUGGAAACAUGUCAGUGAGCAAUCACCGCUGUGAAGGUGCUGCAUGGUUGUCGUCAGCUCGUGCCGUGAGGUGUCGGCUUAAGUGCCAUAACGAGCGCAACCCUUAUCUUUAGUUACUAACAGGUCAUGCUGAGGACUCUAGAGAGACUGCCGUCGUAAGAUGUGAGGAAGGUGGGGAUGACGUCAAAUCAGCACGGCCCUUACGUCCGGGGCUACACACGUGUUACAAUGGGGGGUACAGAAGGCAGCUAGCGGGUGACCGUAUGCUAAUCCCAAGAUCCUCUCUCAGUUCGGAUCGAAGUCUGCAACCCGACUUCGUGAAGCUGGAUUCGCUAGUAAUCGCGCAUCAGCCACGGCGCGGUGAAUACGUUCCCGGGCCUUGUACACACCGCCCGUCAAGCCAUGGGAGCCGGGGGUACCUGAAGUACGUAACCGCAAGGAUCGUCCUAGGGUAAAACUGGUGACUGGGGCU